UUAAGUUAUUAAGGGCGCACGGUGGAUGCCUUGGCACUAGAAGCCGAUGAAGGACGUUACUAACGACGAUAUGCUUUGGGGAGCUGUAAGUAAGCUUUGAUCCAGAGAUUUCCGAAUGGGGAAACCCAGCAUGAGUUAUGUCAUGUUAUCGAUAUGUGAAUACAUAGCAUAUCAGAAGGCACACCCGGAGAACUGAAACAUCUUAGUACCCGGAGGAAGAGAAAGAAAAUUCGAUUCCCUUAGUAGCGGCGAGCGAAACGGGAAGAGCCCAAACCAACAAGCUUGCUUGUUGGGGUUGUAGGACACUCUAUACGGAGUUACAAAGGACGACAUUAGACGAAUCAUCUGGAAAGAUGAAUCAAAGAAGGUAAUAAUCCUGUAGUCGAAAACGUUGUCUCUCUUGAGUGGAUCCUGAGUACGACGGAGCACGUGAAAUUCCGUCGGAAUCUGGGAGGACCAUCUCCUAAGGCUAAAUACUCUCUAGUGACCGAUAGUGAACCAGUACCGUGAGGGAAAGGUGAAAAGCACCCCGGAAGGGGAGUGAAAUAGAACCUGAAACCGUGUGCUUACAAGUAGUCAGAGCCCGUUAAUGGGUGAUGGCGUGCCUUUUGUAGAAUGAACCGGCGAGUUACGAUUUGAUGCAAGGUUAAGCAGUAAAUGUGGAGCCGUAGCGAAAGCGAGUCUGAAUAGGGCGUUUAGUAUUUGGUCGUAGACCCGAAACCAGGUGAUCUACCCUUGGUCAGGUUGAAGUUCAGGUAACACUGAAUGGAGGACCGAACCGACUUACGUUGAAAAGUGAGCGGAUGAACUGAGGGUAGCGGAGAAAUUCCAAUCGAACCUGGAGAUAGCUGGUUCUCUCCGAAAUAGCUUUAGGGCUAGCCUCAAGUGAUGAUUAUUGGAGGUAGAGCACUGUUUGGACGAGGGGCCCCUCUCGGGUUACCGAAUUCAGACAAACUCCGAAUGCCAAUUAAUUUAACUUGGGAGUCAGAACAUGGGUGAUAAGGUCCGUGUUCGAAAGGGAAACAGCCCAGACCACCAGCUAAGGUCCCAAAAUAUAUGUUAAGUGGAAAAGGAUGUGGCGUUGCCCAGACAACUAGGAUGUUGGCUUAGAAGCAGCCAUCAUUUAAAGAGUGCGUAAUAGCUCACUAGUCGAGUGACACUGCGCCGAAAAUGUACCGGGGCUAAACAUAUUACCGAAGCUGUGGAUUGUCCUUUGGACAAUGGUAGGAGAGCGUUCUAAGGGCGUUGAAGCAUGAUCGUAAGGACAUGUGGAGCGCUUAGAAGUGAGAAUGCCGGUGUGAGUAGCGAAAGACGGGUGAGAAUCCCGUCCACCGAUUGACUAAGGUUUCCAGAGGAAGGCUCGUCCGCUCUGGGUUAGUCGGGUCCUAAGCUGAGGCCGACAGGCGUAGGCGAUGGAUAACAGGUUGAUAUUCCUGUACCACCUAUAAUCGUUUUAAUCGAUGGGGGGACGCAGUAGGAUAGGCGAAGCGUGCGAUUGGAUUGCACGUCUAAGCAGUAAGGCUGAGUAUUAGGCAAAUCCGGUACUCGUUAAGGCUGAGCUGUGAUGGGGAGAAGACAUUGUGUCUUCGAGUCGUUGAUUUCACACUGCCGAGAAAAGCCUCUAGAUAGAAAAUAGGUGCCCGUACCGCAAACCGACACAGGUAGUCAAGAUGAGAAUUCUAAGGUGAGCGAGCGAACUCUCGUUAAGGAACUCGGCAAAAUGACCCCGUAACUUCGGGAGAAGGGGUGCUCUUUAGGGUUAACGCCCAGAAGAGCCGCAGUGAAUAGGCCCAAGCGACUGUUUAUCAAAAACACAGGUCUCUGCUAAACCGUAAGGUGAUGUAUAGGGGCUGACGCCUGCCCGGUGCUGGAAGGUUAAGAGGAGUGGUUAGCUUCUGCGAAGCUACGAAUCGAAGCCCCAGUAAACGGCGGCCGUAACUAUAACGGUCCUAAGGUAGCGAAAUUCCUUGUCGGGUAAGUUCCGACCCGCACGAAAGGCGUAACGAUUUGGGCACUGUCUCAACGAGAGACUCGGUGAAAUCAUAGUACCUGUGAAGAUGCAGGUUACCCGCGACAGGACGGAAAGACCCCGUGGAGCUUUACUGUAGCCUGAUAUUGAAAUUCGGCACAGCUUGUACAGGAUAGGUAGGAGCCUUUGAAACGUGAGCGCUAGCUUACGUGGAGGCGCUGGUGGGAUACUACCCUAGCUGUGUUGGCUUUCUAACCCGCACCACUUAUCGUGGUGGGAGACAGUGUCAGGCGGGCAGUUUGACUGGGGCGGUCGCCUCCUAAAAGGUAACGGAGGCGCUCAAAGGUUCCCUCAGAAUGGUUGGAAAUCAUUCAUAGAGUGUAAAGGCAUAAGGGAGCUUGACUGCGAGACCUACAAGUCGAGCAGGGUCGAAAGACGGACUUAGUGAUCCGGUGGUUCCGCAUGGAAGGGCCAUCGCUCAACGGAUAAAAGCUACCCCGGGGAUAACAGGCUUAUCUCCCCCAAGAGUUCACAUCGACGGGGAGGUUUGGCACCUCGAUGUCGGCUCAUCGCAUCCUGGGGCUGUAGUCGGUCCCAAGGGUUGGGCUGUUCGCCCAUUAAAGCGGUACGCGAGCUGGGUUCAGAACGUCGUGAGACAGUUCGGUCCCUAUCCGUCGUGGGCGUAGGAAAUUUGAGAGGAGCUGUCCUUAGUACGAGAGGACCGGGAUGGACAUACCUCUGGUGUACCAGUUGUCGUGCCAACGGCAUAGCUGGGUAGCUAUGUGUGGACGGGAUAAGUGCUGAAAGCAUCUAAGCAUGAAGCCCCCCUCAAGAUGAGAUUUCCCAACUUCGGUUAUAAGAUCCCUCAAAGAUGAUGAGGUUAAUAGGUUCGAGGUGGAAGCAUGGUGACAUGUGGAGCUGACGAAUACUAAUCGAUCGAAGACUUAAUCAA
rnacentral:rRNA from 1 species